GACGAACGCUGGCGGCGUGCUUAACACAUGCAAGUCGAACGGAAAGGCCCUGCUUUUGUGGGGUGCUCGAGUGGCGAACGGGUGAGUAACACGUGAGUAACCUGCCCUUGACUUUGGGAUAACUUCAGGAAACUGGGGCUAAUACCGGAUAGGAGCUCCUGCUGCAUGGUGGGGGUUGGAAAGUUUCGGCGGUUGGGGAUGGACUCGCGGCUUAUCAGCUUGUUGGUGGGGUAGUGGCUUACCAAGGCUUUGACGGGUAGCCGGCCUGGGAGGUGGACCGGGGACCGUGGGACUGCGGUACGGCCCAGAGUGCAACGUGGGGCAGCAGUGGGGAACCUUGCACAAUGGGCGGAAGCCUGUUGCAGAAGCGCCGCGUGCGGGAUGACGGCCUUCGGGUUGUAAACCGCAUUCGCCUGUGACGAAGCGUGAGUGACGGUACUGGGUAAAGAAGCACCGGCUAACUACGUG
rnacentral:rRNA from 1 species